AACCCGACUCCGUGAAGCUGGAUUCGCUAGUAAUCGCGCAUCAGCCAUGGCGCGGUGAAUACGUUCCCGGGCCUUGUACACACCGCCCGUCAAGCCAUGGGAGCCGGGGGUGCUUGAAGUGCGUCGCCGCAAGGCGCGCCCUAGGGCAAAACCGGUGACUGGGGCUAAGUCGUAACAAGGUAUC
rnacentral:rRNA from 1 species